rnacentral:rRNA from 1 species
UACAGAGGGCCCAAGCGUUGUUCGGAUUCAUUGGGCGUAAAGGGUGCGUAGGCGGCGCGGUAAGUCGGGUGUGAAAUCUCGGGGCUUAACUCCGAAACUGCAUUCGAUACUGCCGUGCUUGAGGACUGGAGAGGAGACUGGAAUUUACGGUGUAGCGGUGAAAUGCGUAGAUAUCGUAAGGAAGACCAGUGGCGAAGGCGGGUCUCUGGACAGUUCCUGACGCUGAGGCACGAAAGUCAGGGGAGCAAACGGG